rnacentral:lncRNA from 1 species
UUCAAACUGUUUUAAAAUCAGAUAAAUAGGAGAAUAAUAAUAGUUGAGUGACCAUGCUAAACUCGUGGAAUCCGGUAAUGCCUAACACCUUCUCCCGGGUUAACAGAAUUCCUUACCCGGAUUUCUGUAUUUUGCGGACUAUAAAUCAGAGUCAAACUUCCUAGAUUCGGGAUUUAAACCGAUGACUCGAGACACCACAAAUUAGCCAAAGUGUCGAAUCCAAAUAUAAUAUAAAUAAUCACAUUUCG